rnacentral:rRNA from 1 species
UAGGGAAUCUUCCGCAAUGGGCGAAAGCCUGACGGAGCAACGCCGCGUGAGUGAUGAAGGUCUUCGGAUCGUAAAACUCUGUUAUUAGGGAAGAACAAAUGUGUAAGUAACUAUGCACGUCUUGACGGUACCUAAUCAGAAAGCCACGGCUAACUACGUGCCAGCAGCCGCGGUAAUACGUAGGUGGCAAGCGUUAUCCGGAUUUAUUGGGCGUAAAGCGCGCGUACGCGGGUUUUUAAGUCUGAUGUGAAAGCCCACGGCUCAACCGUGGAGGGUCAUUGGAAACUGGAAAACUUGAGUGCAGAAGAGGAAAGAGGAAUUCCAUGUGUAGCGGUGAAAUGCGCAGAGAUAUGGAGGGAAACCAGUGGCGAAGGCGACUUUCUGGUCUGUAACUGACGCUGAUGUGCGAACGCGUGUGGAUCAAACAGG